GAUGAACGCUAGCUACAGGCCUAACACAUGCAAGUCGAGGGACCGGCGCACGGGUGAGUAACACGUACCCAACCUGCCCCUUCCCCGGGGAUAGCCUUUCGAAAGGAAGAUUAAUACUCGAUAUAAAGGAGGGGGAUGGGUUCCAUUAGGUUGUUGGUGAGGGAACGGCCCACCAAGCCUUCGAUGGAUAGGGGUUCUGAGAGGAAGGUCCCCCACAAUGGAACGUAGACACGGUCCAAACUCCUACGGGAGGCAGCAGUGAGGAAUAUUGGUCAAUGGGCGCUAGCCUGAACCAGCCAAGUAGCGUGAAGGGUGAAUGCUUAUGAGUCGUAAACUUCUUUUAUAUAAGAAUAUGUAUUAUAUGAGUAAGGAUCGGCUAACUCCGUGCCAGCAGCCGCGGUAAUUC
rnacentral:rRNA from 1 species